CACCAUGAAUUGGAUUGACUUGAGGGCAACUGUUUUUUUUUGUUGUUGUUGUUUGUUUUUUUAACUAGUCACCUUCUAGAAGGAAGUACAGUAUGCUGGGUUCCCCAAACUUAAUUACCAGAACCUCUCCCGACCAUAAACAAGCAGGGCUACAGGGGAGAUUAUUUGAGGGGCCAUUGCCUGUGUUCUUCCCCUGGAGGAAAGGUUUGAAGGAGUCUCCCGGGACCGGUUCCAACAUGAUUCAAAUCCCAAAUGCCCAGGAGAGUCCAAGUGGAGGGAA